UACGUAGGGGGCAAGCGUUGUCCGGAUUUAUUGGGCGUAAAGAGCGUGUAGGCGGCCAUGUAGGUCCGUUGUGAAAACUCGAGGCUCAACCUCGAGACGCCGAUGGAAACCAUAUGGCUAGAGUCCGGAAGAGGAGAGUGGAAUUCCUGGUGUAGCGGUGAAAUGCGCAGAUAUCAGGAAGAACACCCGUGGCUAAGGCGGCUCUCUGGGCAUGUCCUGACGCUGAGGAGCGAAAGUGUGGGGAGCGAACAGG
rnacentral:rRNA from 1 species